rnacentral:rRNA from 1 species
UAGGGGAGCGAAAGGGAUUAGAUACCCCUGUAGUCCUAGCUGUAAACGAUGGAUACUAGGUGUUGGGCGUAUCGACCCGUCCAGUACCGUAGCUAACGCGUUAAGUAUCCCGCCUGGGGAGUACGCACGCAAGUGUGAAACUCAAAGGAAUUGACGGGGGCCCGCACAAGCGGUGGAGGAUGUGGUUUAAUUCGAUGCAACGCGAAGAACCUUACCAAGGCUUGACAUCCUGCGAAUCCUUCAGAAAUGAGGGAGUGCCUUCGGGAGCGCAGAGACAGGUGGUGCAUGGCUGUCGUCAGCUCGUGUCGUGAGAUGUUGGGUUAAGUCCCGCAACGAGCGCAACCCUCGUUCUUAGUUGCCAUCAUUAAGUUGGGCACUCUAGGGAGACUGCCGUGGACAACACGGAGGAAGGUGGGGACGACGUCAAGUCAUCAUGCCCCUUACGUCUUGGGCUACACACGUCCUACAAUGCUACAGACAGAGGGCAGCGAGCGCGCGAGUGCAAGCAAAUCCCAUAAACUGUGGCACAGUUCAGAUUGCAGGCUGCAACUCGCCUGCAUGAAGGCGGAAUCGCUAGUAAUCGCCGGUCAGCAUACGGAGGUGAAUACGUUCCCGGGCCUUGUACACACCGCCCGUCACACCAUGGGAGUUGGCCACGCCCGAAGUCGUUACUCUAACCUUAGGGAGGAGGGCGCCGAAGGCAGGGCUGAUGACUGGGGUG